rnacentral:misc_RNA from 1 species
UCUUUGAAUACAAGUCCUUUUGGUUCUCAAAAGCUGUCAGACAAUGAUAGAAACUAUCAUGCUUCUAGAUCAUUACGGCAAAGUGCUUCCCUUCUCUUUGGUUCUGAGCGAGAAACUUCACUUCUAACCAGUGUAUCUAGGGGUCCAUUGCACUAUGCAGAACAUAAAGCAAAAAUUUCCUCAAAUGACUGGGAACCCAUCCAUACCUUUUCGGCCAUCUUUUUCUAUCACUUAUACAGUGGCAUCAUCUCCUGGAAGCCAAUAUGAUCCUCUUCGUGAUAGCAUUGACUUAUCCACUACAGGAUACAGACUUCCCUUCAAAUUUUCUUUUGUUAGUCAAGAGAGAUCCAACCUUAAUUCAUCACAUCAACCAAUAUAUGACAACUCAUUAAGUAAAACCCUUGGAUCAGAAUGUCAUAAUGACAAAAGUACUGUGUCUCUUCAUGGUAGGUUCCAUGAAAAUGUGUUGGACAAGAAUUGCUAUACACCUGGAAAAGUGAUGGGGGGAACUUGUGUGGUCAGUGGACAAAAAGGAACCAUGCCCAAAGAAGAAAAUGCUUCAAGCAGCGGUCAUCUCAGUGAUGUACCAAAUACAAGCAAAAUUGAUGUUGAUUGUGAUUCUAGGCAUGAGUAUGAUGCGCCAAGACAUAAACAGGACUUCAAGGUAGAUAGGGUUAGGCAAAAGAAUGAAAUGGAUGUUGACCAAAAGACAGAUGGAGAAUCAAGAGUUCUGAGACAUUUUCGUGCUGCUCUUAUUGAUUUUGUUAAAGAAUUGUUGAGACCAACCUGGCGCGAGGGUCGUCUCAGCAAGGAUGCACAUAACACCAUAGCUAAAAAGGCAGUUGAAAAGGUUCUUCGCACCUUGCAGCCUCAUCAAAUUCCAACUACGGUGGAAUCAACUAGGCAGUAUCUUUCGUCAUCUCAACCCAAAAUUGCAAAGCUUGUUGAGGGAUACUGUACAAAGUAUGGGAAGUCUUGACAUGCCAGGCCUAGCUUUUUCUUUUUCUUUUGUACAGUUUCCUACACAUUCUAGUGUUUGAAAAUUGCAAGAGGCUUGUUUGACAUAAUUAAAACUGAGAUUCAGGGUGAAUGUUAUGGAUUUUUAUCAAAUGUUGUUAUUUAUGGAUUUUUGUUUCUUCCAAAAAAAACAACAUUU